rnacentral:rRNA from 1 species
CCCUUAGAUGGUCUGGGCGGCACGCGCGCUACAAUAAUGCAUUCAAAAAGUCUUCUGACCUUAGAAGGUUGGGUAUUCUCCAAAGUGCAUCGUGAUGGGAAUAGUUUAUUGCAAUUUUUAAUCUUGAACGAGGAAUUCCUAGUAAGUACAGGUCAUCAACUUGUGUUGAUUACGUCCCUGCCCUUUGUACACACCGUCCGUCGCUCCUACUGAUUGAGUGUCUCGGUGAAUUCUUUGAUCUUCUGUCGAUUCAGUUCACUGAUCCGACGGUGGAAAGUUGAAUGAACUUCGUCACUUAGAGGAAGGAGAAGUCGUAACA